rfam:Homo sapiens chromosome 6 genomic contig, GRCh38 reference assembly alternate locus group ALT_REF_LOCI_2.
GGGGGUGUAGCUCAGUGGUAGAGCGCGUGCUUAGCAUGCACGAGGCCCUGGGUUCAAUCCCCAGCACCUCCA